GUUCGAAUCCUGCACGACCCACCAAUCGUUCGGUGGAAACGAGUAUAAAACGUGAAGGAUAACGUUGCGUCAGCAACGGCCCGUAGGGCGAGGCAAAGCCGAGUCAUCCUGCACAACCCACCA
rnacentral:sRNA from 1 species